rnacentral:pre_miRNA from 1 species
AAUAUGGUUUCCGUGUCCAACGUUUGACUGUUCUUCUUAUUUGAAAAAAUUAUGAAAAAAAUUAAAAAGAUAAGUCAUGUAUAAAGUAUUAAUCAUGUUUUAUCAUCUAACAACAAUGAAAAUACUAAUUAUAAAAAAAUUUCAUAUAAGACGGACAAUCAAACGUUGGCAUGGAAACCCAGGGUUUGUCUUUUU